rnacentral:rRNA from 1 species
UACAGAGGGUGCAAGCAUUAAUCGGAUUUAUUGGGCGUAAAGAGCGCGUAGGCGGACUUUUAAGUCAGAUGUGAAAUCCCGGGGCUUAACCCCGGAACAGCAUUUGAAACUGAAAGCCUUGAGGGUAGUCGGAGAAAAUGGAAUUCCACGUGUAGCGGUGAAAUGCGUAGAUAUGUGGAAGAACACCGGUGGCGAAGGCGAUUUUCUAGAUUAUACCUGACGCUAAGGCGCGAAAGUAAGGGGAUCAAACAGG